rnacentral:lncRNA from 14 species
UGCAGUGCUACACAAAAGAAAAAAGCAGGAAAGGCUUUAAUAGCAAAAUAGAGAGCCCCAGCAGUCUGAGGAGCAUGAAUGUUAUGUUGGUAUGAAGAGAAGUUUAGUUGUAUGGAGAAAAUGCUUCUCACUUUGAAGAUCUCAUUUGAAAGGCUGAUAAAGAAAUGCCCUGAAAUUAAAGGUAUUCUCAGGUUCAGAGAACAAAGGGGGGAAGCACACAGACCCGAGAAAGAAAGCUCCUCUUGCGUGUGAGAAAGUAAAGGACACUUUGACUCACUUGAGAUCCCUCAAAAUGCUAAAAAAAGAAAGGGAAGAAAAAAGUACAAGAAAAGACACUCAUGGAACUGCUGAGGAUUGUUUCAAGUGAAGGAAAAACAGGCUGGUCUAGGAGGAUGAGGUAUUCCCUGCCACUCUUGAAGCGGAAAAGUUCCUGCCUUUCAGCAUACAGUGGCUGGAAAAUCACAGGAGUGCCUGAAACCCUCCAGAGGAGACUGAGUGGUUCAAAGGAUCUUCUUAGACACUGAUGGGAAAUGGAGAACCACACUUCAGGUGUAAUCUGGAGAGGAGUUUGCUGCACCAACAUGUCCUUUGAGGUAGUUGCAGCUCAAAAGAUUGCUGAAAUGAGCAGAGCUGGAGUUUGACUGGAAGCCAAGAAAAAGAGUAGCUCAGGUCAGUUAAUCUACCUCAUUGCAUGUGGGGGAUCUAUGAUAUAACACUGUCUCUGCCUGCUCUGAAAUAGUGUAAUUGAAGGGACACAGUCUUCAAAUGUAUCUUUGCCCGAACAGCAGCUGUUAGGGCUUGCUAGACACCACUGAUGUAGGACUCUGGGAAACUGCCCUAGAGAAACAUUAGAAUUGAUGAGAGAAAUACUCAUCUAGUAGCUUGUAGGGCUCACAGAAGGAGUCUUUGGGGAUGAAUAGGAAAAGUAUGGAGACUUUUUGUAUGAAUCGUGAAGAUCAAGCUCUUCAAAGGUACAAAGCAUCUUCUGUACAAGCAGCAGCUGAAGAGAGUUGGACUCUUCAUCCUGUCAGUGGUGGAGUGCCAUGACAGAGACUGAUAAAAUUAUGAGUCUGAGCUGCUUGGUGACUUGAAGUUGACUUCCAAUUUUGCUGUUAUUCUUAGUCAGUAUUUAGACACCCCAAAACCUAAGCAAACCUCCCAUGCUUUACACACAACUUUCUCAGUGUGUCUCAGACACAGCUGAGGAUACUCAU